CCUGGAGGCCUUAGCGCGGUGGUCCCACCUGACCCCAUGCCGAACUCAGAAGUGAAACGCCGUAGCGCCGAUGGUAGUGUGGGGUCUCCCCAUGCGAGAGUAGGGAACUGCCAGGC
rnacentral:rRNA from 1 species